rnacentral:rRNA from 1 species
CGCGUAGGCGGCUUGGCAAGUCAGAUGUGAAAGCCCCGGGCUUAACUCGGGAAUUGCAUCUGAAACUGCUUUGCUUGAGUCCUGGAUGGGAUAAUGGAAUUCCCAGUGUAGCGGUGAAAUGCGUAGAUAUUGGGAGGAACACCUGCGGCGAAGGCGGCUAUCUGGACAGUGACUGACGCUGAGGCGCGAAAGCUAGGGGAGCGAACGGGAUUAGAUACCCCGGUAGUCCUAGCCGUAAACGAUGGGCACUUGGUGUUGGGGGUAUUGAGUCCCUCGGUGCCGGAGUUAACACGUUAAGUGCCCCGCCUGGGGAGUACGGUCGCAAGACUGAA